rnacentral:rRNA from 1 species
CGAACGGGUGAGUAACGCGUGAGGAACCUGCCUCAAAGAGGGGGACAACAGUUGGAAACGACUGCUAAUACCGCAUAAGCCCACGGGUCGGCAUCGACCUGAGGGAAAAGGAGCAAUCCGCUUUGAGAUGGCCUCGCGUCCGAUUAGCUAGUUGGUGAGGUAACGGCCCACCAAGGCGACGAUCGGUAGCUGGUCUGAGAGGACGACCAGCCACACUGGGACUGAGACACGGUCCAA